rnacentral:rRNA from 1 species
UACGGAGGGUGCAAGCGUUAUCCGGAUUUAUUGGGUUUAAAGGGUCCGUAGGCGGAUCUGUAAGUCAGUGGUGAAGUCUCACAGCUUAACUAUGAAACUGCCAUUGAUACUGCAGGUCUUGAGUAAAGUAGAAGUGGCUGGAAUAAGUAGUGUAGCGGUGAAAUGCAUAGAUAUUACUUAGAACACCAAUUGCGAAGGCAGGUCACUAUGUUUUAACUGACGCUGAUGGACGAAAGCGUGGGGAGCGAACAGG